UCGAAUAAAUACGCAAGCGGUGCUCGCGCAAGCGAGUGAAACGGGAAACUGGUGAAAAUCCAGUGCUGCCCCCGCAACGGUAAACAGUGAACGACGACAUGAUCGGCGUGUUGACGCUUCCGGAGCCAUUCCGGAGUGUUCAGGCGCGCCCGCCACUGGGCUACGGCCCGGGAAGGCGUUGUCGUCCACAUCGCUUAGCGAUGUCAUUGUGAGCCCGGAGACCGGCCGUUUGCACUUUUCCCCG
rnacentral:ncRNA from 2 species